GGUUGUGUAGUGUAGUGGUUAUCACUCGAGAUUUUGACAAAAAUCAGUCUUAUAUAAGCCGAUUUCUCGUAACCCCGGUUCGAACCCGGGCACGACCU